GAUGAACGCUAGCGGCAGGCUUAAUACAUGCAAGUCGUGGGGCAGCAUGAGUAGCAAUACUUGAUGGCGACCGGCAAACGGGUGAGGAACACGUACACAACCUUCCUUCAAGCGGGGAAUAGCCCAGAGAAAUUUGGAUUAAUACCCCAUAAUAUAUUUGAUAAGGCAUCUUAUUAAUAUUAAAGCUUCGGCACUUGAUGAUGGGUGUGCGGCUGAUUAGAUAGUUGGCGGGGUAACGGCCCACCAAGUCUACGAUCAGUAGCUGGUGUGAGAGCAUGAUCAGCCACACGGGCACUGAGACACGGGCCCGACUCCUACGGGAGGCAGCAGUAAGGAAUAUUGGACAAUGGACGAAAGUCUGAUCCAGCCAUGCCGCGUGAAGGAUUAAGGUCCUCUGGAUUGUAAACUUCUUUAUAUGGGAACGAAAAAAAGGGCAUUCUUUGUUCACUUGACGGUACCAUAUGAAUAAGCACCGGCUAACUCCGUG
rnacentral:rRNA from 1 species